rnacentral:rRNA from 1 species
CCUACGGGUGGCUGCAGUGGGGAAUAUUGGACAAUGGGCGAAAGCCUGAUCCAGCAAUGCCGCGUGAGUGAUGAAGGCCUUAGGGUUGUAAAGCUCUUUUACCAGGGAUGAUAAUGACAGUACCUGGAGAAUAAGCUCCGGCUAACUCCGUGCCAGCAGCCGCGGUAAUACGGAGGGAGCUAGCGUUGUUCGGAAUUACUGGGCGUAAAGCGCACGUAGGCGGCCAUUCAAGUCAGAGGUGAAAGCCCGGGGCUCAACCCCGGAACUGCCUUUGAAACUAGAUGGCUUGAAUCUUGGAGAGGCGAGUGGAAUUCCGAGUGUAGAGGUGAAAUUCGUAGAUAUUCGGAAGAACACCAGUGGCGAAGGCGACUCGCUGGACAAGUAUUGACGCUGAGGUGCGAAAGCGUGGGGAGCAAACAGGAUUAGAUACCCCAGUAGUC